rnacentral:rRNA from 1 species
ACGCGAAGAACCUUACCUAGCCUUGACAUAUUUAAGAACUCCGUAGAGAUACAGAGGUGCCUUCGGGAGCUUUCUUACAGGUGCUGCACGGCUGUCGUCAGCUCGUGUCGUGAGAUGUUGGGUUAAGUCCCGCAACGAGCGCAACCCUCGUCACUAGUUACUAACGGUUCGGCCGAGGACUCUAGUGAGACUGCCUUCGCAAGGAGGAGGAAGGUGAGGACGACGUCAAGUCAUCAUGGCCCUUACGGCUAGGGCAACACACGUGCUACAAUGGCCAGGACAAUGAGACGCAAUACCGCGAGGUGGAGCAAAUCUAUAAGCCUGGUCUCAGUUCGGAUUGUAGUCUGCAACUCGACUACAUGAAGCUGGAAUCACUAGUAAUCGUAGAUCAGCUAUGCUACGGUGAAUACGCUCCCGGGUCUUGUACUCACCGCCCGUCACACCAUGGGAGUUGAUUUCACCCGAAGCGGGGAAGCUAAACUGGCUACCCUCCACGGUGGAAUUAGCGACUGGGGUGAAGUCGUAACAAGGUAACUAAUUAAAA